GCCCAGACUCCUACGGGAGGCAGCAGUCGGGAAUAUUGCACAAUGGAGGGAACUCUGAUGCAGCGACGCCGCGUGGGUGAAGGAGCGUUUCGGCGCGUAAAGCCCUAUCGGCAGGGAAGAAGGAGGACGGUACCUGACUAAGAAGCCCCGGCUAACUACGUGCCAGCAGCCGCGGGAAUACGUAGGGGGCAAGCGUUAUCCGGAUUUACUGGGUGUAAAGGGGGCGCAGACGGCAGCGCAAGCCAGGAGUGAAAGCCCGGGGCCCAACCCCGGGACUGCUCUUGGAACUGCGCGGCUGGAGUGCAGGAGGGGCAGGCGGAAUUCCUGGUGUAGCGGUGAAAUGCGUAGAUAUCAGGAGGAACACCGGUGGCGAAGGCGGCCUGUUGGACUGCGACUGACGUUGAGGCCCGAAAGCGUGGGGAGCAAACAGGAUUAGAUACCCCCGUA
rnacentral:rRNA from 1 species